rnacentral:rRNA from 1 species
UGCGUAGGCGGAAUGAUAAGUUAGUGGUGAAAGCCCCCGGCUUAACCGGGGAACUGCCAUUAAUACUGUUGUUCUUGAGUAUAGUUGAAGUAGGCGGAAUGUAUCAUGUAGCGGUGAAAUGCUUAGAUAUGAUACAGAACACCGAUAGCGUAGGCAGCUUGCUAAGCUAUAACUGACGCUCAGGCACGAAAGCGUGGGGAGCAAACA